rnacentral:lncRNA from 1 species
AAAGUAACAAGUCUAUUAUUGCAACAGUAAAUGCUGUUUUAUUUAUGAUUUCUUCAUGAAGUUAUUUUGAGACCAGAUCACAAGAUCUUGUACCCGAGGCAUUUUUCAAACUUACUAUGAUACCAAUGAUGACCUUGAACUUCUGACCCUCUUCCUUCUUUCUCCCAGUUGCUGGUAUUAGCUUAUGCCAUCACACCAUCCAGUUUAUAAUGUGCUGAGGCUUGAACCCCAAGCCUUUUUUUUUUUUAAUUCAGGAAUGUGAUUACAAACUACAGUCCAACUAAAAGAAUAAAAAAAUGUAAAGCAGGCCUCAAUCCAAUCAAGAGGGCAGCUAGUUUUCCAUAUAAAUUGUCUUACUUAUUUAUGGGUACAUAUUACAGGCCAUCGUUGAAGGCCUUAUCUGUUACAGGGUUCAGAAAUAGAUAAGACCAGUGGCCUCAUGACUUCCCUUAUCACCCUACAGAGCAUCUUCUAACACGAUGAAAGCUAGCCAGUAAGGAGAAUUUCCUGAUCAGUUUAAGAUUGAUGUCUCUGUAUCCUGAAACCAAACUGUGUGGUAUCUUUAACAAUAGGGUUUCACCAUCUAGUUAUGGUGGGCAAAAGCAAUGGCAAUAGUCUGUCCUGAUCCAUAAGAGGGAAUUCAUUCCUGGUACUAUAAACCUAAAUAUGCCCAAAACUCAUGGCUAGGAACAUCAUAAGCCCUAGGGAAGAAACUAUUUGUAUUGUUUAUCUAAAGUACAACAUGGUAUUGUCAAACUCCUUUCUAAAUAUUUGUUUCUAUACUCAGCCAUUUUUUCUAUACUCAGCCAUUUUUGCUACUUCUAAGCAAUAGGCAGUGGUUAAUACAGAGACACUUUACUAUUCAAAGUGAUAAAAAUAUUAAGCAAAAAGUGUGUGCUAAGCUGACAAUAUGACAGUUAUAUCAAUCCUUUCCCCUUCAAAGCUCAGGGAACAUUGAGGAAAGCCAGAAAAAUGGAAGAGCCAGAAUCCAGGAUCUAUUU